rnacentral:rRNA from 1 species
GGUUAAGUCCCGCAACGAGCGCAACCCUUAUCCUUUGUUGCCAGCGGUCCGGCCGGGAACUCAAAGGAGACUGCCAGUGAUAAACUGGAGGAAGGUGGGGAUGACGUCAAGUCAUCAUGGCCCUUACGACCAGGGCUACACACGUGCUACAAUGGCGCAUACAAAGAGAAGCGACCUCGCGAGAGCAAGCGGACCUCAUAAAGUGCGUCGUAGUCCGGAUUGGAGUCUGCAACUCGACUCCAUGAAGUCGGAAUCGCUAGUAAUCGUGGAUCAGAAUGCCACGGUGAAUACGUUCCCGGGCCUUGUACACACCGCCCGUCACACCAUGGGAGUGGGUUGCAAAAGAAGUAGGUAGCUUAACCUUCGGGAGGGCGCUUACCACUUUGUGAUUCAUGACUGGGGUGAAGUCGUAACAAGGUAACCGUAGGGGAACCUGCGGUUGGAUCAC